rfam:Caldimicrobium thiodismutans DNA, complete genome.
CGGGGCGUAGCUCAGUCUGGCAGAGCGCCGGCUUCGGGAGCCGGAUGCCGGAGGUUCAAAUCCUCUCGCCCCGA